rnacentral:misc_RNA from 1 species
UGGGAUAUCCAGCAUCAACUGCUCAUGCAACGGGCAAUGAAAUAUUAAAAUUUCCAGCAAUUUAGAAGAAAUUGUGACUCUGCAUAGUUCAAGGCUAAUUAAUUUAUCAAAACCUUGAAAAGCCCAUGGAUGAUGUAUUGAGCAAUUAUGAAGGUUUAGACACCUCAGCUGCAAACACAUGAAAAGUGAAAAAGGCAAUUUUGUAUAUCUUUCUAAAUGGAA